GUAAUUUAAUAAAGUUAAUGUGAAAGUCUUAGCAUGUGACCUCAUGUACCUUUUUUUUUUUUUUUUUUUAUCAGGUUGGUGGGACAGAAAACUAAAUGGGACCAUGCUGUUUUUCUACUCUAAUCUACAAGAAUUGUACCGGUGUCCAAGAAUUGCAAGGAAACUUCUCCAGGAUUAGCACCUGAACGUUCUCCCUGUGUCUGCCCUCAGAUCCGUGAAGUUCCUCCCUGAGCAUCGUUUCACAUUUUCAGUGCAUUUCGGAGAUCUUCAAAAGGUGGUAUGUGUGCAAGCUGUGUGAUGGGAGGCAACUGAUUUUAACCCUGGCCUUUGCAUCCAAACACUCUCUUCAGAUUGGAGUGCGAUCCAGUACAAAAUCUGAGUGGGGCAAUGGAAAGUUAAUAAACUUCCUGUAAUCCAGCUUUGUGGGUUUGUUCACUUUGAAAAAGAAAGAAAGAAAGAAACCCAAGAGGGUACAGGGAAAUUCCACAUCUUCAGCGUUCCUGGAAGCGCGGCUGCUCCCUCUAGUUGUUGCGCUCUGGUCUUUCCCCAACCGCGUCCUCCGGCCGUGCUUCAUGCAGUGCCUAAGGCGGAGAGGAAGGUGGCCGCGGUGGCUCUGCUGCUCCGUUGCUGUGCGGCUGUCCCCGCUAUUCCUCCUCUCCCGUCUCCCUUCUCCCUCUCUGGACAAGUCCCACCAAAAGGCCUCUCUGGACAAGUCCCACCAAAACCCUCCUGCACGGGGCCCCGGUGGCCCACGCUGACAUUUGGGAAGCAGCAAUGCCGCUGCCGCGCGGGACUGGUGCUUCACCGCCGCGCGGGCGGCACGGUGCUGGCCUCCCCUCGCUCAGACGCUGGGCUGCAAGUGAUUUCGAGGAGAAAUAAUAUGCAUUCUUGCUCUGACAUGAUAUAAAAAUGUCUUUAUAUGAGAAAGUAUAUAUUUUAUUGAGGUGUGCUUCGUAUUAGUGUCGCAUAAGACCUUGAUUUCAAUAUAACAAUAUGAAAGUGCACGUGUAAUUUCUCUUCUGAUCACUUUAAUACCAAACCCACUGUACAUGGUAGUAAUGUUAAACUAAUGUGACAGCAUAAUACAAGUAUAAAGUGAUGUAAAACCCAUUAAUAUUAUAGAAAGUUAUUCAUCUUAUGCAAAGGAUUCUAAAGAAUAAUUUGAUUAAAAUUCCUCGUCCCUUUCUCUUGUUCUAGUGGAGCUGCUCUGAUCAAAAGAGAAGGCUGAUGAACAAACUUGAUAUUAGCUAAUUUCCAUACAAUAACUUCUCGUUCUUACCGCUGCUCACGUGCUAGCUUGGAGCGCGGUCGCUGCUGUCAGGGUCUCGGCUGGCUGCCAGGGCUGGUCGGGAGGUGUGGGGAGAGAGGUGUGCAGCCAGGCAGCGGGCUGAGUUUGGGGAGCCUGGUCCGUGUUGGCAUGCACCUUUUCCCUUGUCCAGUUUCAAGGGCACGUAAAACUUGAGCGAAUCAGGCCAUAAACGUUUAAUGAUACGAGUUGUUCCUCAAAUACAACAACGGAGCAAGUUGC
ensembl:lncRNA